rnacentral:rRNA from 1 species
AACGAACGCUGGCGGCAGGCUUAACACAUGCAAGUCGAACGAUAAGCUAUCUUCGGAUAGUGGACAGUGGCAGACGGGUGAGUAACGCGUAGCAACCUACCUAUUUCUACGGAAUAACGUCGAGAAAUUGACGCUAAUACCGUAUACGCCCUUCGGGGGAAAGAUUUAUCGGUGAUAGAUGGGGCUGCGUUAGAUUAGCUAGUUGGUAAGGUAACGGCUUACCAAGGCGACGAUCUAUAGCGGGUCUGAGAGGAUGAUCCGCCACACUGGGACUGAGACACGGCCCAGACUCCUACGGGAGGCAGCAGUGGGGAAUCUUGGACAAUGGGGGAAACCCUGAUCCAGCCAUGCCGCGUGAAUGAUGAAGGCCUUAGGGUUGUAAAAUUCUUUCGCUAGGGAAGAUAAUGACGGUACCUAGUAAAGAAGCCCCGGCUAACUCCG